rnacentral:rRNA from 1 species
GACGAACCGUGCGAACGUUGUUCGGAAUCACUGGGCUUAAAGGGCGCGUAGGCGGGCCGCCAAGUCUGUGGUGAAAUCCCCCGGCUCAACCGGGGAACGGCCGCGGAUACUGGAGGUCUCGAGGGAGGUAGGGGCAUGCGGAACUACGGGUGGAGCGGUGAAAUGCGUUGAUAUCCGGAGGAACUCCGGUGGCGAAGGCGGCGUGCUGGACCUCUUCUGACGCUGAGGCGCGAAAGCCAGGGGAGCGAACGGG